CCAUAUGCAGUAAGGUUAGGCUUUUAUGUAUUUCUGACUAUUUCUGGUGAACCUGAGAUUGAUUGGUGUUGGGUUAUUUAUGCAUAUGUUCCCACUCUUAUUGCAGGAUUUUGACUGUGAUUUGGUCGUGCGAAGACGCCUGUAAAGUUCAUCUGUUCUGAUCCUUGUGUAGGGUUUGAUUUUGUCAAUUCUCUUGGUUGAGUUCCAACUCUUGCCCAAGAAGAUGUUACCCUGAUUGCUUCGAUCUCAUUUUGUUUCCCUCUAAUGGAAAGAAAGGUAUGUAUCCAAAGUUUCUCGACCUUGUUUCGUUACAACAUCUGUUCACAUGAAAGUCAGAAGUUUAUUUCAUCUCAACUGAGUCCUCUGUUUUGAAGGUUACUUUUCUCUCUUUCAUUGUUUCCGUUCUUACCGUCUUCCUCUCCGCAAAGCUUGCCUUAUCUGUCUCUCCAUUGUUUUGAAAAUAGUCGGUCCAAAAGACUAGUUUUCCUACUGAUGUUACUUGGUGUACAG
rnacentral:lncRNA from 1 species